AAAUCUGAUUCUGUUGGGAUUAAUCAUGAUUAAUUGCAAUGUUUUGCCAGGUAACAUUUAUUUGUACAAUAUGGCAGCAGUCCAUGGAAUAACAAUCCACUUUUUGUGAAAAAGUGAUCUAAACCACAAUAAUAGCAAGAAUAAGCUACUAAAAACUGAUUGAAUAUUUAUUUAUUUUGUAAGUGACUAUGGAACAAGUGGGAUAAUACCCGACAGAAUGUUUUAACGUACGCCAUGGAAGCCUGAGGUAAAGCGAUGGACUGUUUCUUCGAUUAAUUUGCGUUAAUACAUAUUAAAGCAUUAAUUCCUUUUAAUUAAUCACAUUCAUUAAAGCGCUAAGCCUUAAUUUUUACAUAAAAGGAUUGGUGUGUUAAAUUGUAAAAAAAUAAAAGAAAAAGAAAAAAAAUCUUUGCAAUGUGGUCCCCCCUCCAGGCAUAGGCGACCGCCUAGGUUGCCUACGCUCAGGGCCGGUCCUGCUCAUAGGCCAUAAAGGGUUCCAAAAUUUGACAAAAGAGCAGGACCAAGGUAAGAUUUGUGGUGUGCUUUGGUCAUUCACCUUGUAAAAAAAAAAA